GCCCACGUGGAGCAGCCUGGAGUGCUCGUCACCCUGUCAAGGUGAAGGUCGCCGGAUCGAAGCCGGUCGUGGGCG
rnacentral:tRNA from 1 species